rnacentral:rRNA from 1 species
UACGUAGGGGGCUAGCGUUGUCCGGAUUUAUUGGGCGUAAAGAGCGUGUAGGCGGCCAGAAAAGUCCGCUGUGAAAACUCGAGGCUCAACUUCGAGCUGUCGGUGGAAACUUUCUGGCUAGAGUCCGGAAGAGGAGAAUGGAAUUCCUGGUGUAGCGGUGAAAUGCGCAGAUAUCAGGAAGAACACCCGUGGCGAAGGCGGUUCUCUGGGACGGUACUGACGCUGAGACGCGAAAGCGUGGGGAGCGAACAGG